rnacentral:rRNA from 1 species
AUUGAACGCUGGCGGCAUGCUUUACACAUGCAAGUCGAACGGUAACAGGGAGCUUGCUCCGCUGACGAGUGGCAGACGGGUGAGUAACGCGUGGGAACCUUCCCUGUGGUACGGAAUAACUGACCGAAAGGUUAGCUAAUACCGUAUACGUCCGAGAGGAGAAAGAUUUAUCGCCACAGGAUGGGCCCGCGUCGGAUUAGCUAGUUGGUGAGGUAAUGGCUCACCAAGGCGACGAUCCGUAGCUGGUCUGAGAGGAUGAUCAGCCACACUGGGACUGAGACACGGCCCAGACUCCUACGGGAGGCAGCAGUGGGGAAUAUUGGACAAUGGGCGCAAGCCUGAUCCAGCCAUGCCGCGUGAGUGAUGAAGGUCUUCGGAUUGUAAAACUCUUUCGCCGGGGAAGAUAAUGACGGUACCCGGAGAAGAAGCUCCGGCUAACUUCGUG